rnacentral:rRNA from 1 species
UACGGAGGGUGCAAGCGUUAAUCGGAAUUACUGGGCGUAAAGCGUGCGCAGGCGGUUUGUUAAGUCCGUUGUGAAAGCCCCGAGCUCAACUUGGGAAUUGCAGUGGAUACUGGCGGGCUGGAGUACGGUAGAGGAAGGUGGAAUUCCCGGUGUAGCAGUGAAAUGCGUAGAUAUCGGGAGGAACACCAGUGGCGAAGGCGGCCUUCUGGGCUGACACUGACGCUCAGGCACGAAAGCGUGGGGAGCAAACAGG